CAAUGGUGUCUGGGUGUGAUUGGCUGAGUCCCUGUGUUUUCUGAUUGGGCCUUUUUUUUCACCUUGUUAUUUAUUGUUCGUCUCAUGCGACAUGGACAUGAGUAGCUGCUAUUAACGAGCUCCAUGGCUAAUCUUCCAAGAUCGACAGCCUCAAAUGCAAUUCUCUACAGUGGAGACACUUUCCUCUUUAGUACCCCCAGAGCUGGAACCUGGACAAAACUCCGUCAUCCACAGUUUGGACCACAACUAUGAAGUUGCAGGGUGCCCAUUUCAGCAAGAUGCAAGUGAAGGGAUCCCCUCUGAAGACAUGGCACCAGCUGUGGACACAGUGGGUCUGUGCAGAGCUUACUGAGGACAUGGGGUGAAUAAACCAAAGCCAUCUGCCAGGAUCGUAUGUAAAUCUAUGCUCGACCAAAUCAUACACAGAUUAUGGUCUUUAUUUUUGUACUGUCCUAGUGUUUGCUACGGUGAAUUGAUGGUCAAUUUGUUGUAUCUAACCAAUUUAAUUAGUACAGGAAGUGUGGGAGCACAAUGAAUUUUAACACCUGUACUGUUAAACAUUUUUCAUUGUUAUUUUUGUUUGUUUCUCAAUUUCCCUCGUCAUUUCUUUUCAUGAGCAGUCUCUGACCUAUCAGUGUUGUCUAUCUAGGAAGGUCUAAAAAGCCUCAGACCCCAACCAUGGGUAUGCUAAGUGAUGCAUGAUUUGCCUGAGCUUUCACGGGUUGGCUCUGGGUUUGGGCUUUUAUCGCAUAGUUCACCAUCGUAGAAUCUCAAGGAAGUUAAAUGUCAACCUGUGGAAAAUGUACAAAUAAUCAUAUGGUGAUUGUUUGCACAGCUACUGUGAUGAAAAACAUUCACUCGCAACAUAUUUUUCUGGGGUCUCUACAAAAUAAGCACAUUUAGUUACAUCUGCAGAGUUGGAUUUGUUGGCCUGGGCAUCUCUGUGGCACUACAAAGUUUUAUUUAUGUAACUACCUUUGUGCCUUUAUCAAACCUUUUGUUUCGCACACCUGUCAGACAUCUUACCUGUCUAUCUAGGAGCAUGUAUGUUUAAACAUUCAACAUCAAAUGUGAUGAAGUACAACAGACAUGUUUUGGGGGACAUAAGUUGGCCAUUAUAUAACUGUCAUUGGAUUAUGUCUUGUUAAACAACAACCAGAGAAAUAAAUGUAUUGUUUUAUCUCACUGUAA